rnacentral:rRNA from 1 species
AAACAGGAUUAGAUACCCUGGUAGUCUACGCCGUAAACGAUGAGUGCUAAGUGUUGGAGGGUUUCCGCCCUUCAGUGCUGCAGCUAACGCAUUAAGCACUCCGCCUGGGGAGUACGACCGCAAGGUUGAAACUCAAAGGAAUUGACGGGGGCCCGCACAAGCGGUGGAGCAUGUGGUUUAAUUCGAAGCAACGCGAAGAACCUUACCAGGUCUUGACAUCCUUUGACCACUCUAGAGAUAGAGCUUCCCCUUCGGGGGCAAAGUGACAGGUGGUGCAUGGUUGUCGUCAGCUCGUGUCGUGAGAUGUUGGGUUAAGUCCCGCAACGAGCGCAACCCUUAUUGUUAGUUGCCAUCAUUCAGUUGGGCACUCUAGCAAGACUGCCGGUGACAAACCGGAGGAAGGUGGGGAUGACGUCAAAUCAUCAUGCCCCUUAUGACCUGGGCUACACACGUGCUACAAUGGGAAGUACAACGAGUUGCGAAGUCGCGUGGCUAAGCUAAUCUCUUAAAGCUUCUCUCAGUUCGGAUUGCAGGCUGCAACUCGCCUGCAUAAAGCCGGAAUCGCUAGUAAUCGCGGAUCAGCACGCCGCGGUGAAUACGUUCCCGGGCCUUGUACACACCGCCCGUCACACCACGAGAGUUUGUAACACCCGAAGUCGGUGAGGUAACCUUUUUGGAGCCAGCCGCCUAAGGUGGGAUAGAUGAUUGGGGUGAAGUCGUAACAAGGUAACCG